rnacentral:tRNA from 1 species
GGCGCCGUAGCCAAGUGGUUUAAGGCAGAGGUUUGCAAAACCUCCAUUCGCUGGUUCGAAUCCAGUCGGCGCCUCCA